rnacentral:rRNA from 1 species
AAUACCUACGGGGGGCAGCAGUGGGGGAUAUUGCACAAUGGGGGCAACCCUGAUGCAGCGACGCCGCGUGAGCGAUGGAGUACUUCGGUAUGUAAAGCUCUGUCAGCAGGGAAGAGAAUGACGGUACCUGACCAAGAAGCCCCGGCUAAAUACGUGCCAGCAGCCGCGGUAAUACGUAUGAUGCAAGCGUUAUCCGGAUUUACUGGGUGUAAAGGGAGCGGAGGCGGCAGGGCAAGCCUGAUGUGAAAGCCCGGGGCUCAACCCCGGGACUGCAGUGGGAAGUGCCCCCCUAGCGUGCCGGAGGG